rnacentral:rRNA from 1 species
CCCCGAGAUGAGUUCUCCCUGACUCCUUGAGAGUCCUGAAGGAACGUUGAAGACGACGACGUUGAUAGGCCGGGUGUGUAAGCGCAGCGAUGCGUUGAGCUAACCGGUACUAAUGAACCGUGAGGCUUAACCUUACAACGCCGAAGCUGUU